CCUGGCCCCCACCCCUGAGCGGUGGGUGGGGGCCCUAAAUACAAAUUGGGGGGGGACCUAACUACUCUUGUAGUUGCCCCACUGGGAACAAUGAUGCCAUUGAAUGGUUGCCCGGUUGGGUGUCAUCGAGGUGGGUGCGGAAGCUAGGGACCCUCAGGAGUGGGAGGCUGGGAGCGAAGUAAACUGGGGUGCCAGGCGCACGUGGGUUGGAG